CUGUGGGGGCGGGACUUCCGCCGCCGCGGAGGCGGUUUUGUGUGGGCGCGGGUCCGGGUGCCCGCGGGCGGCGGCGCUCCCGGCCCGCAGGGGGGUUCUCCCCCCUCCCAGGGCGCCGUGUCCGCGGGCGGGUGGGCGAUGAAUGGUUUCAGCACGGAGGAGGACAGCCGGGACGGGCCGCCCGCAGCCCCCUUCUACGGGCAGAGCUGCUGCCUCAUCGACGACGGCGACCGCUGCGUGCGCCCCGCCGGCAACGCGUCCUUCAGCAAGCGCAUCCAGAAGAGCAUCUCGCAGAAGAAGCUCAAGCUCGACAUCGAUAAAAGCGUGAGGCAUCUCUAUAUUUGUGAUUUUCACAAGAACUUCAUUCAAAGUGUCCGAAACAAAAGAAAGAGGAAGACAAGUGAUGACGGAGGUGACUCUCCUGAGCAUGAAACAGAUGUCCCAGAGGUCGACUUGUUCCAGCUCCAAGUGAACACUCUGCGACGUUACAAGAGGCAUUAUAAGUUGCAGACUAGGCCUGGACUCAACAAGGCUCAACUAGCAGAAACUGUCAGUCGUCACUUCAGGAAUAUUCCUGUGAAUGAGAAAGAGACGCUUGCAUAUUUCAUCUACAUGGUGAAGAACAACAAGAGCAGGCUGGACCAGAAAUCAGAAGGUAGCAAGCAACUAGAAUGAAAAUCAACAAGACUUGGAAUAAGAAUGACCUUGAAGGAACAGAUGGUAUUGUGCAUUUUAGGUGUAUAAAAACUGUUGAAGUAUAUUGUAAAUUUUUUUUUUAAUGCAGUAGGUCUGGAUGACAGGAAAAAAAAUAUAGACUUUCUUAUCAGGAGUAUUUGAAAACAUGUGCCCAGCGUGUUUCUGAAGACUUCUUCCCCUCAUUUCAAAGUAACAUUGGAAUAAAGAAAUGAGGAUAAUGAGGAAACCGAGCAAACCUGUAGGACCGUGGAGUUUGUCAACUCAGCGUUUUAAACCAUUUCUGGAAAUCUGCAUCUCAGUGCAAUUCGGAUCACGGAUGGAAUUUUUUUCACCGAAUUCAGACUGCAUCACAAAUCACCAUGCAGUUUGUCUUGGCACAGGACUGGAAUAGCAGCAGAGGUAAAAUUCAUUAUCAAGCCUGCAUAGGUGACAUUCACUCUGGGGCGAUGGAAUCAUCUUUGAAGCCUUCAAGCUUAAUUCAAUUCUCAUUGAAGAGUUGCAUUACCUUCAUUAGACUUCUGAACUGAUCCAAAGCCAUUAGUAUGAAAUCCAAAUAAAGCAGAAUCAUCUCUUCUGGGGUCAACUUCAUCCUGUAUGCUCAACCUCUUCUCGCUUUAAGGGAAGAAGAAAUUGCUGCUAGUUAUUGGCUUGAGCACAACUGAAGGGAGUUGGAAGCAUGCAAAGAUUUGAGUCGGUGGCAAUCUGAUGGCUGAAAAGUGCCAAUAUAUCCAGGGAGGCUGUGUUAGAAGGCAGGAGGUUUGGUUUUUUGCAUCUCAAAGAAUAUUGUAUAUCAACCUGAAGUAAACAAUUGCAUUAAAAGUUAAUGUUUCUUUUGCCAGGCACUUUAGAUGUUCAGCCUGAGAAAAGCAGAGUGGACAGGUUUGUACCACUUGUCCCCAGUAUUCUGGUGUCCCAGUUUUCCUUAGAAAUAUGGCUGUAAACCACUAGAUACACUGGUGUGCGAGACUUGACCAAAACAUAUCAAGUCUGGCAUUUAAAGUUAGACUUAAGUGCGAGCUAGCUUCGGAGCGGCUUUGAAAUCAAGAGCCAAAGUAAUCCACAGUAAGUGCAAGUUUUCAAGCGGGUCAUAAUGGCACAGAGAAGAUGAAACAGGAUGUGGCCCACAGAGAGACUGAACAAAACACGCUUUCACAGUUAGCAACGCGGAGGAAGAUUUGUUCUGUGUUAGCUCUUGUAAUGGAUGUUUUAUGAGAAGGGAAGGAGGGGGGAGCUGUGCACUUUACGUCUUUUGGUUGAGCCAAAUGUAAAUAUCAAUGGGAGAUCUUCAGCAGUAACUGCAGUUGGAAGGGAGAGAAAUGGUCUGCUGUGGGACUGUUUAUUUAAAUUUGCAGAUCGUUACGCUUCCCGAGAGCACUAGAGUCACUUUGCCUCUAAAAAAGUGGGUACUACGAGGUAGCCUCCUGCAUAAAAAGGAGUCUUUGUACGGCCCAGAGUAUUGACUGAAGAGUCCCAAAGGUGAAGCAAUGUUACUGAUGCCUCACUCCUCUUGUCACUGAUGCCCUUUAGAAAUCUCUAUCGAGUUAGGGAGUAUUCAUUUUCCACUUUCCAAGUGCAAAUGAACUGUUAUGAUGUAAGAUACUCCUUGCACUUUUCACAGCUAUCCCUGGUCUCACAUUUUUGACUUGUCUGUGACCACAUCUGUUUGGAGUGAAUUAAAUGGUUGAAGAAAGUGUGGGGAGAGGGGAGGCCUCCUGCUUUAAGCAUGAACUUCCCUUGCAAGCAGCUCUGCAGGCCAUCCUGUCCAUCAACAGGCUCCAGGAGCCCUGCCUAGCUGUGCCCUAAGAGGGCUGCGCUUGCUCCUGUCCUUGCCGCAGCUCUCCCUUCUGCAGCCAGAGUGCAGAGGAGGCAAAGAGCAGGGAGCUUGCAGAAUGGCUUGGAGUCCUUUAGCGAGCUUACUGGGAGAGAAAAACUGUGUUUCCUCUUCUGUUUCUGGCCUCCAUGUGUUGUGCUGAUCUUAUGCCAAAUGUUUUGGACACCUUGUAUUUUUAACUGUGUAAUAUAGCUGUGUAUUGUUAAAGCAACUUAGUAACUUAUAGCAAAAACUGUAGAACUCAUUUCUCUGAGGUGUAGGAAAUGUCCUGCUUCCACUGUGUAUGAGACUUUAACUCUGUACUGUCUGACAAAGAUAAAAUGCUGAAUUUCACUUUAAUAAAUGAUCUAUCUAGCAACAAGGCCUACAUUCCCUUCUGUUUCCCUUUCUGGCACUUCCCGAGCCAGUGGAGUUUUGCAUUGCACAGAUGUUUUGUGCCAGGCUUCUCUGAUUCACUGUCAAUUCCCACCCAGCUCCUCUGGGCCAAAAGCAUUGCAGCCGUGGAGGGGAGAACGGCACUGCCGACAGGGAUAUGUGGAGCCUGACUUAGAAAACACAGGUGAUGGGACAUCUUGUGACAAAGCU